AACAAAAACACCGCCUGCUUCCUUUUUAGUAGGUAGAUUCUGCCCAAUGAGACUUAAAUGGCCGCAGUAUCCUGACUGUGCUAAGGUAGCAUAAUAAUUUGUCUCUUAAUUGGAGGCUAGUAUGAAUGAACUGACGAAGAAAAGACUGUCUCAGGAGGGGAAGAGAAAAUUUAUACUCAGGUAAAAAAUCCUGAAAGCUGUAGAGGGACGAUAAGACCCUAAAAGCUUUACCCUUAAAGCCUAAGCUCCUAUAGCUUUAUUAGGCCUGUAGGGUUUUCACUGGGGCGGUGUCUCUGUUAAACCAGAGCAGUUAAAACACUCUGAGUGAAUUUAAUAACCUUAGCUAAAAUAUUUAAGUAAGUUACUUUAGGGAUAACAGCGCAAUUCUCUGUGAGAGCCCUUAUCGACCAGAGAGAUUACGACCUCGAUGUUGAAUUGAAGACUUAGCCAGAGCAGCAUUGGUAAAAG
rnacentral:rRNA from 1 species